UCCUAAAAAUAUAUACAAAAAAAUCAUGAUAAGUUUACAACAAUGUUUUGUAACGUAAAAGUCGAUAGCCCUCGGCUCAGGAUUACUGAACAAUCAUCGCCAACUUAAAGUGCGCUGAUAGUUUAGUAAGCCCUUCCUUUUGAAGCAUUCUUUUAUGUAUCCCCAGCUUAAAUUAGACGGAUUAUAAACAAAAUUUUCUGUCAGUUUUCUAGCAACCUUAGAGUUUUUAAUUGUGAAAUUAAUUUAGUGGUGUUAUGGGUUUGCAGUUGCAGUAAAGCGAACAACAACAACAAACCCCACGGCAACACUUACACGAACAGAUGGAUCAGCAUCAAAUUUGAAACAAUAUCAAUUUCCACAACAAACUCUCAGUUCGAUGGAACCAGACAGAAUUAGAAACUUUUUAAAUUGAAUUACAGAAUCACAAAUUGAUGAAUUGUCACAUCUUUCGUGGAAGUGAAUCAAUUGUAGUCAUAAACACCAGUGGGAGCCGAAAAAUGCU